AGUAAGAUCCCUGAAAGAUGAUCAGGUUGAUAGGUCUGAGGUGGAAGUGUGGCGACACAUGGAGCUGACAGAUACUAAUCGAUCGAGGACUUAACCUAAUA
rnacentral:rRNA from 1 species